rnacentral:lncRNA from 1 species
GUUACCCUGAACCUGUGAGCUCAGUAGAAAUUUUCUGGUUAUCUGGAGCCGGCAGUUAUUCAUUAUAGCUCCCCACCACUGACUGACUGAGGGUUAAUUAUCAUCAAACAUCUAUCUGCCCACGGUGAGCUACAAGCUAUGCCAGGUGUUUGGUGAAUAACACUAAUGUAAUUUAUUUUACUGUCUGAUUUUCUCACGGUAAUCAGGUAGCAAUAAUUAUGGAUUGGUACUUAAUAUUUUAUAAGGCCUCUGACCCAUUUCAUUGAUAUUAGAUUUUAUUUAGUCUUUAAAUAUUUAAUGUGUGUGUGUGUGCACGUGCAUAUGUGUACAUGAUGUGUGUAUGGAGAGCAACAUGCAAUGACAUACAUGUGGAGGUCAGAGGACAAUUUUGUCAGGUUUGUUCUCUUUUUCCAUCUAUGUGUGGGUUCCAGAGACCAAACUUGGAGCUCAGGUUGUCUGGCUUGUGUAGAGUUGCAGAGUUGCUUUGACUCCAGAGCCACCUCCUCAGACCAUAUAUUAGAUGUAACCUAUUUUAAGUUUUUCUUCUGGAUCUACUCAUGUUCCUGAGCACGAGUCACAUACCCAUACCCUUUGCCCUUACUCACUGCGGUUUGCAUAUAUGCUUCAAUACAUUUUCACAGAGAAGGUGACUCUAUUUCUGAUCUGUGUUUUGUUUUCAUUCUUAGUUAGUUUUACCCUUUUGAUGGUUAAAGUGUAUGUAAUAUAUCUGAUCAUUUUACUUCGCUUCUGAUUUCUCCCUCUGGCUCAGUUUUAAGAAACUAACGGGCUAUAUUUUCCUUUAGGAUUCUGUUCCUUACUCCCUUUGAGAAGGACUCUGACAUCUCCUGGAUUCUGAAGCCCAAGUCUCCCAAGUUUUUAAACACAGUGCAUUCACAAGGGUGAAAUGCUUGUGAGAGGUUACCGUAGCAUUUUAUUGCCCCCCUCAGCCCCAUUAAUUCUGCCCUUAGCUGUAUUUUUGCUGUUCAAAGGGUUUGUGGCUUGAAUAUCAUUCAUACUCAGCUUCACUCAAUUAUUUACUUAUUUUCACCCACAUUGACUCAUUUAUAAUUCACUAUAUAUGGCACGCAGACUCUAGGUUAGCCCCCAGUGAUCCCUGCUCCCUGAUUCUCACCCUUGAGUGUGAACAGGUUCUAUGGCUUGCUUAUAGCUAUAGCCUAUGAUGAGGGUGGUAAGGCGUCCUUCCUGUGAUUAUGUUACACAACAUAAGGAUGCCUUUCUAGGAGACUCACUGUUGCUAUCUCAAUGAAUAGCAAUGCCGUGGAAGCGCACACAGUGUGGCAGCUCAGCAGACUCGGCCAUUAGUUGGUAAGAAGCCUGGAUCUCUGCUCUUGAAACCACAGAAAAUGAGUUCUGCCAAGAGCUUGAGUGAGUUUGGAAGAUAUUCCUUUCCCAGUCAAGCCUACAGUCUGGAAUGGUUGGAGAGACACUUUGCCUGUGACUUUAUGAUGCCUAAAGCAGAAGGCUUGUCUGAGCCGUAGUCUGACCUUAUGUUAACUGUGAGAUAAUGCUGGUUGUUUUAAACCACUAGGCUGUGGUCAUUUGCUUUUCAGAACUAGAAGAUAGACAUUUGAUGGUAUCCACAUGCUCCAUGCUGGAUACACACUGUGAGGGCUUAGAGUGCCACAAUACACUAAGACUAAUGUUGCCUGCACUUUACAGAUAGAGAAAUCAAUUUGCUUCAAUGCGAUUCAUGUCUCAACUUAAGCAUGGUUUAAGAUACAUCUUCUGAGAUACAAAUGCAUUUAAGAAACAUUCUCCUUGGCGUACACUGACCAUAAGAUGAGUGGUUUUCUAAAGUCUGCAUUAUUUGUAAAGAAACUUUUUCUGGUUUUUAUUAUUUUUAAUAGAUAUAUGACAUAUACCUAUGUUUAUCUCACAGAAAUAAUAUUGGAUACAUAAUAGGAAGUUUUCUCCUUUUUGCUCAAAGCAAUACCUAUAAACUGUUUAGAUGGCGGACAUUCAUGCCAGUCCGCUCCGUGUUUGCCUGGUGCCUUUCCUGGAAUCAGAGCCUCCAGAUGCUAAUUAUUCAUACUUCAUGAUUGAGGAUUUGGAGUCGGAGACUCACCUGCAAUAUUUGGAAUACCAGUGGAGAUCCAUAUCAACAUGGAAUUUAUACAGUAGCUGGUGCCAGUCACAGCUAAUGAUGGAACUUCAGUUUAAUAAAAAGACCCCCAACUGAGUAUAACCAUCUCGAAGAAAGUAUACUUAUCAAACAGCUUUCAAUCAGUUCAAGAGAGACACCUUAAUUGUGAAGAGGAAGAACUGCACAGCGGUUGUCACCAUGCCAACUUCAGAUCGAUGGCAUUGCCACUGCUCUUGGUACAUAUAGCCUUGUCUAUGUCCUUAACUGCAUCAACAUCCUUCCUGUUGGGAUGAGAUCUUUGUUUCAGCUGCUAGCGUGUGAUGAGGCUUUUAAUUCGUUACACUAUAAUACCCCUUCGUAAAAUUUAAAUGUGUAAUUAUAAAGGUCAAUGUCUUUUCCUUUAAUUAAAACUUCUAUUCCUUGUUAACAGAAAUUAGUGCUUAUGACAUUUUGUAUUUUCAAAAAUUAUUGUGUUGAAAUAAAGCUACACAAACAAAAUAAAAUAUGGCGAUUCCACUCUAAGAAGAGAUGACUGAAUAAAUGAUAAUCUGACUUCUGUGCAAUUAUGUGCAAGAAGAAUGCAUACAAUAAUCCAUCAAAGGGAAACAAAGAGAAGGAAGGUUUACUCUGGCAGGAAGAAAUUACAAUUCUAAAGGAGAAUAUGAUGGAAAAUCCUUUCUUUUAGGAGGAGGGAGUCAUCUAGCUUAUUUAAAGACCUCUGGUUUCAGUGAUGCAGUAAGGAGCACCAGGGGCGGCGACACAGGUGAGAGAGGAAGGGGAAUGUGCAAAGAAACAGGCCAAGAGGCUAAGGCUCCAGAGGGUGCCUGCUGUGGUGCUCUUUGCUCCUUUCCAGUCUGCCUCCUUUUUCUCUCUCUCCUCUCUUGCUGUCUGUAUUUGUUUAUAUAGAUAGAGACUUAGGAACAGAAAUACUGCACAGAAAAGAUGCACUUAUUUCUUAUUUUAUGAAUAUGGGUGUCUUGCCUGCCUGGGCACCACAUGUGUGUAGCAUCCUUGGAGGUCAGAAUAAGGUUUUAAAUUCCCUGGAGCUGGAGUUACAGAUGGUUGUUAGCCACCAUGUGGGCACUGGGAAGUGAGCCCUGGUCCUCUGGAAAAGUAGCCAGUGUUCUUGAUCCCUGAGCCGUUUCCUCCAGCACACACAAACUCACCUUUAGGCAUAGAAUCUCAUACUCUGAAGCAUGUGGGAUAUUUGAUCUCGUUUCCCUCACUUUAUAUAUUCAUUCGUUAAAACGAUACAUUUUUGUUAGGUUUGGGUGUGUGUCUGAUGCUAUGUGUUAGGUUUACAGUGUGUUAUUUCUAGCUAUCUACCGAUUAUACUUUAGUGUGAGAGACAGAAACUGGUCUAGUAAUCACAUCACUGCAAAUCACAGCAUUCUUGAAAGUGCUGGUAGGCAAAAUAAGAGAGCUCUCUGAAGUCCAGUGUUGGAGAAUAUAUGGGAACAUGGCUGGAAAGAGUAGAAAUUACUAAUGUCAUUGGCUAUGCUCUGCAGGGCAGAUGCUGGGCUCAGUCAAGUGUUCUCUUAGUACUCACAGCUAGACUGAGGAAGCCAAAGGACCUAUGAGCUCCUGUCCUUCCUUGCAAUAUGGUUGGCUGGUGACUGACAAAGAUUUGCAGGAAAGCAGCACUCAAGUAGCCCCAGUAGGACCAAUCAGUCAUGCCGCAGUAGGGUUUGGCAGCGUCUUCACAGAUAUUCGGUUGUGAAAGGGCCAGUCCCGAAUGCACAUUCAUUUCCAUUACAACCAUCUACCAGACUUAUCUCUCAUUAUAGAAGCAACCCCAGAUUGAACUAUCACUAUUGAAAUUAUUAGUUUCUAUAGCUCUAAUCAAGCCAUCCUCCUUUUCAGGGACUCAACCAAAGGGCACAGAAGAACAGUGUCACUGAGGUCACCUUCUCUAUAAAGACCUUGAAGAGUAGGGUAGAGGGGGUCUGACUGGCUAGAGGUUCAUAUACUUCACUUAGAAUAUCCAACAAGUACAUGGCAAGUUAGCAUCUCUCACCAACGCUGGGAAGCUUUGCCAACAUUGAUGCCUCCCUCUGGGAAGCACCCGCCAUCAGGCAAGCUCACGUCCUCAGCAGCAUCUGGUGGGAUGAGCCAUGCUGUCCUUAUAAUCCAAAGAAAGCUGAAGUCAUAGUCAACAUUAGUUUGGAGUGAUUUCCUUUCUUUUCUUUUUUGGUAAACAGGUUUGCAUUUUCAUUAUGUUUAUGAUUUAUUCACAUGCACGCACAAUAUAUACAUAUUUUCAUUGAUGUGGGUUUAUUUGUAUAGCCUAUUUUUCUUCCUCCUUUUUCUGUCUCCUCCCACUUAUCUCCUAUCCUGCAUCUUCUACUCCUAUUAGCAUCUGUGCAUCGAUUUAGUACUUGUCUGUGAGAAUACUCAAUCCAUCUGCAUAUAGUUCUGGAUGUGUAUUAACAAUACACAUAUAUAGUCCUAUGCAGAAGUUUUUGUAGAGUAUUGGUUUUGACAAACAUGAUUAUUUAAAUAUACUCUUUUCCCAUUUUUUUGUUUUGUUUUCACUACUAAAUACUUUAGAAUAAUGAGUUACCUCCUCAAGGUAACUGUUAUAAUGCUACUUUAUUUUGUAAUUUUUCCAUGAUGUAUAACCAUGACUUAGUUUUCAGUUUCCUGGAAUAUUAAACAAUGCCAUAGCUG